rnacentral:rRNA from 1 species
CAGUAGCCGCGGUAAAACGGAGGGUGCAAGCGUUAAUCGGAAUUACUGGGCGUAAAGCGUGCGUAGGCGGUUCAUUAAGUCUGUUGUGAAAGCCCCGGGCUCAACCUGGGAAUGGCAAUGGAUACUGGCGAGCUAGAGUCUUGUAGAGGGGGGUAGAAUUCCAGGUGUAGCGGUGAAAUGCGUAGAGAUCUGGAGGAAUACCGGUGGCGAAGGCGGCCCCCUGGACAAAGACUGACGCUCAGGUGCGAAAGCGUGGGGAGCAAACAGGAUUAGAUACCCGGGUAGUCCCUGUCUCUUAUAC